UACGGAGGGGGCUAGCGUUGUUCGGAAUUACUGGGCGUAAAGCGCACGUAGGCGGCUUUGUAAGUUAGAGGUGAAGGCCCGGGGCUCAACUCCGGAAUUGCCUUUAAGACUGCAUCGCUUGAAUCCAGGAGAGGUGAGUGGAAUUCCGAGUGUAGAGGUGAAAUUCGUAGAUAUUCGGAAGAACACCAGUGGCGAAGGCGGCUCACCGGACUGGUAUUGACGCUGAUGUGCGAAAGCGUGGGGAGCAAACAGG
rnacentral:rRNA from 1 species